rnacentral:rRNA from 1 species
GGAGGAAGCUUGCUUUCUCCGCCGGCGACCGGCGCACGGGUGAGUAACACGUAUGCAACCUGCCCCUGUCAGGGGGACAACCCGCCGAAAGGCGGGCUAAACCCGCGUACAUGCCACCGGGGCAUCCCGGAGGCAGGAAAGGCUUCGGCCGGACAGGGAUGGGCAUGCGGCGCAUUAGGCAGUAGGCGGGGUAACGGCCCACCUAACCGACGAUGCGUAGGGGUUCUGAGAGGAAGGUCCCCCACACUGGUACUGAGACACGGACCAGACUCCUACGGGAGGCAGCAGUGAGGAAUAUUGGUCAAUGGUCGGGAGACUGAACCAGCCAAGCCGCGUGAGGGAUGAAGGUACAGAGUAUCGUAAACCUCUUUUGUCAGGGAACAAAGGCGGGGACGCGUCCCCGGAUGAGUGUACCUGAAGAAAAAGCAUCGGCUAACUCCGUGCCAGCAGCCGCGGUAAUACGGAGGAUGCGAGCGUUAUCCGGAUUUAUUGGGUUUAAAGGGUGCGCAGGCGGUCUGUUAAGUCAGCGGUCAAAGCCCGGGGCUCAACCCCGGCCCGCCGUUGAAACUGGCAGUCUCGAGUUGGAGAGAAGUAUGCGGAAUGCGCGGUGUAGCGGUGAAAUGCAUAGAUAUCGCGCAGAACUCCGAUUGCGAAGGCAGCAUGCCGGCUCCACACUGACGCUGAGGCACGAAAGCGUGGGUAUCGAACAGGAUUAGAUACCCUGGUAGUCCACGCAGUAAACGAUGAAUGCUGGCUGUCCGGGGGGACUGACCCCUG